CUGGGGUAAUUAGUAUGCCCUGCACUGAUGUGGAACCCGUGUCUAAAGUCUGCACAAAGAACGAGGAUCUCUUUGAAUGAACAGUGUUUGUUCUGAAGGACGGAAAGAGUGUUCCCAUCAUUACAGGUGUCAUCAGCAUGCCUGUCAGCGAGGGAUUGGUGGUGGUCUGAGGUCAACAGAGGUCAUCAGAGGUCAACUAAGGUCAUACAUCUAAAACCCACGCCAAACUUAUUUACUAUAGUAUCUCUUUUGGUGUGAAUUUCAGUCAGUGAAGAAACAUUUUGUGAAUUGUAAAAGUUGAACUUUUAUUCCAUGAUGGAAUAUUAACAUUCAAAAUAUGAACUGUUUAUGUGCAAUGAUAAAAUAUUGAGAUAACUGAAUUUGUAAUUUUUUAUCUUAUUUUAUUCGAGUGAUGACAAACAAUUUUUGUUGGCUUUUUAAGUUUUUUUUUCAGUAUUCCGUCCAGAUGACUAUGUUUCUCGAAUGUUUCCAUGCUUAUUCUAUUGUGCAACAAAACUAGACUUUCUGUACUUUUAAAAUAAACAAAGAAAUGAAGAAAACAAUGAGAAACUAGUAAAGAUUGAUUAUACUUUGAAUUCAUUU